rnacentral:rRNA from 1 species
GGUCAAGUGAAGAAGCGCAUACGGUGGAUGCCUUGGCAGUCAGAGGCGAUGAAAGACGUGGUAGCCUGCGAAAAGCUUCGGGGAGUCGGCAAACAGACUGUGAUCCGGAGAUGUCUGAAUGGGGGAACCCAGCCAUCAUAAGAUGGUUAUCUUGUACUGAAUACAUAGGUGCAAGAGGCGAACCAGGGGAACUGAAACAUCUAAGUACCCUGAGGAAAAGAAAUCAACCGAGAUUCCCUUAGUAGUGGCGAGCGAACGGGGACCAGCCCUUAAGUUGUAUUGAGAUUAGCGGAACACUCUGGAAAGGGUGGCCAUAGUGGGUGAUAGCCCUGUACGCGAAAAUCCCUUUGCAAUGAAAUCGAGUAGGACGGGGCACGAGAAACCUUGUCUGAAUAUGGGGGGACCAUCCUCCAAGGCUAAAUACUACUGACUGACCGAUAGUGAACCAGUACCGUGAGGGAAAGGCGAAAAGAACCGCGGAGAGCGGAGUGAAAUAGAUCCUGAAACCGUAUGCGUACAAGCAGUGGGAGCCCACUUUGUUGGGUGACUGCGUACCUUUUGUAUAAUGGGUCAGCGACUUAUUUUCAGUGGCGAGCUUAACCGAAUAGGGGAGGCGUAGCGAAAGCGAGUCUUAAUAGGGCGUCUAGUCGCUGGGAAUAGACCCGAAACCGGGCGAUCUAUCCAUGGGCAGGUUGAAGGUUGGGUAACACUAACUGGAGGACCGAACCGACUACCGUUGAAAAGUUAGCGGAUGACCUGUGGAUCGGAGUGAAAGGCUAAUCAAGCUCGGAGAUAGCUGGUUCUCCUCGAAAGCUAUUUAGGUAGCGCCUCAUGUAUCACUGUAGGGGGUAGAGCACUGUUUCGGCUAGGGGGUCAUCCCGACUUACCAAACCGAUGCAAACUCCGAAUACCUACAAGUGCCGAGCAUGGGAGACACACGGCGGGUGCUAACGUCCGUCGUGAAAAGGGAAACAACCCAGACCGUCAGCUAAGGUCCCAAAGUCAUGGUUAAGUGGGAAACGAUGUGGGAAGGCUUAGACAGCUAGGAGGUUGGCUUAGAAGCAGCCACCCUUUAAAGAAAGCGUAAUAGCUCACUAGUCGAGUCGGCCUGCGCGGAAGAUGUAACGGGGCUCAAACCAUGCACCGAAGCUACGGGUAUCAUCUUUUGAUGAUGCGGUAGAGGAGCGUUCUGUAAGCCUGUGAAGGUGAGUUGAGAAGCUUGCUGGAGGUAUCAGAAGUGCGAAUGCUGACAUGAGUAACGACAAUGGGUGUGAAAAACACCCACGCCGAAAGACCAAGGUUUCCUGCGCAACGUUAAUCGACGCAGGGUUAGUCGGUCCCUAAGGCGAGGCUGAAAAGCGUAGUCGAUGGAAAACAGGUUAAUAUUCCUGUACUUCUGGUUAUUGCGAUGGAGGGACGGAGAAGGCUAGGCCAGCCUGGCGUUGGUUGUCCAGGUUUAAGGUGGUAGGCUGAGAUCUUAGGUAAAUCCGGGAUCUUAAGGCCGAGAGCUGAUGACGAGUGUUCUUUUAGAACACGAAGUGGUUGAUGCCAUGCUUCCAAGAAAAGCUUCUAAGCUUCAGGUAACCAGGAACCGUACCCCAAACCGACACAGGUGGUUGGGUAGAGAAUACCAAGGCGCUUGAGAGAACUCGGGUGAAGGAACUAGGCAAAAUGGCACCGUAACUUCGGGAGAAGGUGCGCCGGUGGAGGUGAAGCAUUUACUGCGUAAGCCCCUGCCGGUCGAAGAUACCAGGCCGCUGCGACUGUUUAUUAAAAACACAGCACUCUGCAAACACGAAAGUGGACGUAUAGGGUGUGACGCCUGCCCGGUGCCGGAAGGUUAAUUGAUGGGGUUAGCGCAAGCGAAGCUCUUGAUCGAAGCCCCGGUAAACGGCGGCCGUAACUAUAACGGUCCUAAGGUAGCGAAAUUCCUUGUCGGGUAAGUUCCGACCUGCACGAAUGGCGUAACGAUGGCGGCGCUGUCUCCACCCGAGACUCAGUGAAAUUGAAAUCGCUGUGAAGAUGCAGUGUAUCCGCGGCUAGACGGAAAGACCCCGUGAACCUUUACUAUAGCUUUGCACUGGACUUUGAAUUUGCUUGUGUAGGAUAGGUGGGAGGCUUUGAAGCGUGGACGCCAGUCUGCGUGGAGCCAACCUUGAAAUACCACCCUGGCAACUUUGAGGUUCUAACUCAGGUCCGUUAUCCGGAUCGAGGACAGUGUAUGGUGGGUAGUUUGACUGGGGCGGUCUCCUCCUAAAGAGUAACGGAGGAGUACGAAGGUGCGCUCAGACCGGUCGGAAAUCGGUCGUAGAGUAUAAAGGCAAAAGCGCGCUUGACUGCGAGACAGACACGUCGAGCAGGUACGAAAGUAGGUCUUAGUGAUCCGGUGGUUCUGUAUGGAAGGGCCAUCGCUCAACGGAUAAAAGGUACUCCGGGGAUAACAGGCUGAUACCGCCCAAGAGUUCAUAUCGACGGCGGUGUUUGGCACCUCGAUGUCGGCUCAUCGCAUCCUGGGGCUGAAGCCGGUCCCAAGGGUAUGGCUGUUCGCCAUUUAAAGUGGUACGCGAGCUGGGUUUAGAACGUCGUGAGACAGUUCGGUCCCUAUCUGCCGUGGACGUUUGAGAUUUGAGAGGGGCUGCUCCUAGUACGAGAGGACCGGAGUGGACGAACCUCUGGUGUUCCGGUUGUCACGCCAGUGGCAUUGCCGGGUAGCUAUGUUCGGAAAAGAUAACCGCUGAAAGCAUCUAAGCGGGAAACUUGCCUCAAGAUGAGAUCUCACUGGAACCUUGAGUUCCCUAAAGGGCCGUCGAAGACUACGACGUUGAUAGGUUGGGUGUGUAAGCGCUGUGAGGCGUUGAGCUAACCAAUACUAAUUGCCCGUGAGGCUUGACCAUAUAACACCC